UACGUAGGGUGCAAGCGUUGUCCGGAAUUAUUGGGCGUAAAGAGCUCGUAGGCGGCCUGUCGCGUCGGAUGUGAAAGCCCGGGGCUCAACCCCGGGUCUGCAUUCGAUACGGGCAGGCUGGAGUGUGGUAGGGGAGAUCGGAAUUCCUGGUGUAGCGGUGAAAUGCGCAGAUAUCAGGAGGAACACCGGUGGCGAAGGCGGAUCUCUGGGCCAUUACUGACGCUGAGGAGCGAAAGCGUGGGGAGCGAACAGG
rnacentral:rRNA from 1 species